AUAUUCAUCGUGUUGCCAUUCCAACGUAAUUGAUAAGACGAACUUGUAGCUUUGCAUCGAACACGUAGUCCGUGCUUCACCCGUUGCGGCCGAACCGUAGAUUGCUCGCGUGUUUUAUACUUUGUUAGUUACUAUUGUUCAGUGUUCAUUGUUUUAAUGUAUUUCUUGAUAAAGUUAUAAACAUUCGUGUACAUCUAUCCGAUCCUCUGACGCUUCAACCAGCGGCCAACAGCGAGACCUUCGUUAUUAAAUAAUCGUACGGGCCUAGCCACUCCAGGUCCAGGCUCGCUACAAGUGUUGAAUCCAGUAAAUCAACUCUUAAGUCUAUUAAGUGUCAGAAAGAUCAACAGAAAAACAUAAACAAGAAUUUAAAGGAAUUACUUCAAAACUUAGAGCACAGCAUGGACAAAUAUUUGAAAGUGUUGAACUUUGUUUGAUCAGAAUAACCUCGAGGUGAACAGUAUGUACAGCAAAAAAUAUUUGUUGCAUAUCCUUUUGGAGAAUGUACCUUGCAUACCAUUAUGGGAAAAAGUUAUUUUAUACUUAGUAAAUUUGAUCGUCAGAGUAAAGCUCCAAUUUAAAGCUGUUUUAAUUUGGUAAGAAAAAAAUGAAGUGUAGGGAUUUGUUGAAAUGAUAAACUAUGUAUAAAGGUAAUUGUUUUAGGCAAUUGAAAAUAAAAAUACCAAGGUGGAAGUGUGCAAUUGGUAACAAAUAUGGUGAUGAAGAUAAUUUGCUUUCGAACACUCCAGAAAUUUGGAGAAAGAACGGUAAAUGUCCUGCGUUCUUGAGAAACAACAAUAGGGUCUUGUAUGCUAACAAUAGUAAACCUGUUCAAAAUAAUAGACAAUAAGAAAAUGAUAAUAUUGCUAUUGAAGAGGAAACAAAAGAGAUGACAGACCCACAAACAACUAUUAGUUGUCGUGAAAAAACAAUCCUAGAUUCAGAGCAACAAAUAUUAGAUACCAAUGAUGAUCAUGCUAAAUAUGAGAAAUCUUGACCAGGUAACAAUAAAGAAAAAGCAUGUUGAAAAAAUUCAAAACUAAACUGAAGGUGUUGAUGAAACUAUGUCUUCAGUGGUAGUUGAAUGUUGUCCAGAAAAUGAGGAUUUAAGUAAUAAUUUAUAUCAACAUUCAUGGUCGUGUGGUGGUUUGGGAACAGUAAAAUAUAAAGUCACCUACAGGAAAAUAUAAUUUAUAUCGCACUAGUAAACUAGUGAAAGAUGCAAAUUAUUACAUGCGAUCUUAUCUCGGAGUUGAUGACUAUGUAGUAUCAAAAAUUUCUUUUGAUAAUGAUGAGGUGUAGAUAACUUAUUUGGACUUUAAACAGUUAAAUACUGAAGGUGAUAGCUGUUCUCUUUGAUUGUUAUGGGCUACCAUAUAUUUAUUGAAACCGUGUGCAAUUAUGUAACUAGUUCUAAUCACAGAACCACAACUAGAACUACAACCAACUUAAUGCACUUAGUAUCAGAAUUUUGUUAACACUUUGAUUUAUAAAAUAAAUAUAUUAAAAGUAUUAAAAGUUAAAGUCUCACGUCUAAUUAAUAACACAUAUUUGACUGCUCAAGUUGAAAUCAAGCUGGUGGCAUGGAACAUUUGUUAUAAAAUACUAAAAUAUGGUGUAUAUUACAAAUAUAUUUUUAGAAAAAAAUGAAUAUAUUUGGAUAACUAAAAAAAAAACAACAAAUAAAGUGUCUGAUUACAGAUAUUAUUUGUUAAAUGUUGGAAAAAAUUUUGAGAACUCUACCAACGGAAGACUUGAAUGGUUUAAUUUGUCUAGACUUAUAGUACAGUCACUGGAAAAUAGUAUUUGGACUUGAUUGUAUGUCAAUUUUAUUGAAAAGACUGUCAGUUAUUUAAACUCUACUGAAUGUGUGUUCUGGAUAUGUUGAAGAGUAUAUCCAAGAAGUGGAAUCCAAUGCAAGUAAUUAGCAAUGUCGAUAAAUGGAUGGAUCUAUAUGUCAAUAUACCAUAUCAAAAUUAUGGAUAUAUCUGUGGUGUAUUCAUAUUAUAAUUUUCAAAUUAAUUAAUGAGCUGUAAAAGUAAUUGAUGAUUCCAAUUCCAAUGUUUACCGCAAAGACUUGGAGAACAUGAUAUUCACAAGGUUUAUGUGAAUUAAAAACAAUUAUUUGAUUUGUGAAAAAGAUGAAGGAAAUUUGAAAGGAAAUUAUCAAGGUGUUGCUGAAGAAUAUAGCUCAACGGUUCAAUAUGAUUCUUGUACAAGGUGGCUGCAUAUAUCAUGUUUGCCCGAUGCAAACAAGAAAAAAGUAGAAAAUGAUAAUUGGUUAGCUAUGGACUAUGAUUAAUUUAAUAUUCAAAAAAUCCAUUGUUAUGAAAUAUGAUAUCCAAGGAAAAUUCUCCACUUGAUUAAUAAGGAACAAUACCUAUGUGUUUACACUAGAGAACUGCUAUACAAUAAUUCGAAUUAUUAUAUUAAAUAUCAACUCUGAUAUCAUAUACGUGUAUCAAGGAUUUUAUUUAAUGUUGGGUGCAAAUUUUGAAGAAAAUAUAAUUAC
rnacentral:misc_RNA from 1 species